UUCUAGCUUGAUGUAGCCGAUAUCCUUUUUGUGUUCACCGCGGCGGACACAAAAAGAUAAAGGCGAGAGCGGAAAAAGC
rnacentral:misc_RNA from 1 species